CCUACGGGCGGCAGCAGUGGGGAAUAUUGGACAAUGGGGGGAACCCUGAUCCAGCCAUGCCGCGUGUGUGAAGAAGGCCCUCGGGUUGUAAAGCACUUUCAGUGAGGAAGAACGCCUGGUGGUUAAUACCCAUCAGGAAAGACAUCACUCACAGAAGAAGUACCGGCUAACUCCGUGCCAGCAGCCGCGGUAAUACGGAGGGUGCGAGCGUUAAUCGGAAUUACUGGGCGUAAAGCGCGCGUAGGUGGCUUGAUAAGCCGGUUGUGAAAGCCCCGGGCUCAACCUGGGAACGGCAUCCGGAACUGUCAAGCUAGAGUGCAGGAGAGGAAGGUAGAAUUCCCGGUGUAGCGGUGAAAUGCGUAGAGAUCGGGAGGAAUACCAGUGGCGAAGGCGGCCUUCUGGACUGACACUGACACUGAGGUGCGAAAGCGUGGGUAGCAAACAGGAUUAGAUACCCGAGUAGUC
rnacentral:rRNA from 1 species